rnacentral:lncRNA from 1 species
AGGAAUCUCCAGAAGAAUUAGACAUCCUGUCUUAUAGAUGCUUAUUCAUAAAAGAGUGGGGAGAGCCUGAAGGUGUAAAAUGUGUUAUUUGCCACCUUUAAAACUUCUCCAUGGUGCUGAGAGGUCCAUCAGUCAAACUGCCACAUUUUACAGAUGAGGUUGAGCUGAAAGCCUGACCCACCGCGUGCUCCAGCGCAGCCUUCUCAGGGUUCGGCUUUGGAGUGGGGAGUGCGGUACAAGGCCUUACCGGGCAUUUGCUCAGCUAAAAAUAAAGCGAAGCUGGCUUCUGUCUGCUAUCACUCCUUAUACGUAUUGCACUCCAGCCUGGGCAACAGAGUGAAACUCGGUCUAAAAAAAAAAAAAAAAUCUCAUAUGCUAGAGUUGUCACCUGGCAAAAUAAAUUUGGAGCUAAUAGCCAGGACCUUGAGAGGAUUUUGUUCCUUGGCUGAAUGCAAAUCCUUGCCAUUUAGUGAAAACAGCAGGACUUCAAGAAGCAGCAAAUCCACAUCACAUCCAUCAUCUUCAACUCCCACCAUGAGCUUGUCCCAUAUGUAAAAAUUAAAUCCAAGAGAAACUUAAUAUUUAGGAGCUGAUAUUCUCUUAACUCCUUUUUUUCCUUUUUCUUUUUUUUAUUUUUUUAUUUUUAGGGUCUCACUCUGUCACCCAGACUGGAGUGCUGUGGCACGAUUGUAGCUUACUGUGACCUCAAACUCCUGGGUUCAAGCAAUCCUCCCACCUCAGCCUCUCAAAUAGCUGAGACUAUGGGCACACACCAUUGUGCCCAGCUAAUUUUUUUUAU